rnacentral:rRNA from 1 species
UAUACCGUGAAACUGCGAAUGGCUCAUUAAAUCAGUUAUCGUUUAUUUGAUAGUACCUUACUACUUGGAUAACCGUGGUAAUUCUAGAGCUAAUACAUGCUAAAAACCCCGACUUCGGAAGGGGUGUAUUUAUUAGAUAAAAAACCAAUGCCCUUCGGGGCUCUUUGGUGAUUCAUAAUAACUUAACGAAUCGCAUGGCCUUGUGCCGGCGAUGGUUCAUUCAAAUUUCUGCCCUAUCAACUUUCGAUGAUAAUGUAUUGGAUUAUCAUGGUUUCAACGGGUAACGGGGAAUUAGGGUUCUAUUCCGGAGAGGGAGCCUGAGAAACGGCUACCACAUCCAAGGAAGGCAGCAGGCGCGCAAAUUACCCAAUCCCGACACGGGGAGGUAGUGACAAUAAAUACUGAUACAGGGCUCUUUUGGGUCUUGUAAUUGGAAUGAGUACAAUUUAAAUCCCUUAACGAGGAACAAUUGGAGGGCAAGUCUGGUGCCAGCAGCCGCGGUAAUUCCAGCUCCAAUAGCGUAUAUUAAAGUUGUUGCAGUUAAAAAGCUCGUAGUUGAACCUUGGGCCUGGCUGGCCGGUCCGCCUCACCGCGUGCACUGGUCCGGCCGGGUCUUUCCUUCUGGGGAACCGCAUGCCCUUCACUGGGUGUGUCGGGGAUCCAGGACUUUUACUUUGAAAAAAUUAGAGUGUUCAAAGCAGGCCUAUGCUCGAAUACAUUAGCAUGGAAUAAUAGAAUAGGACGUUGUGGUUCUAUUUUGUUGGUUUCUAGGACCGCCGUAAUGAUUAAUAGGGAUAGUCGGGGGCAUCAGUAUUCAAUUGUCAGAGGUGAAAUUCUUGGAUUUAUUGAAGACUAACUACUGCGAAAGCAUUUGCCAAGGAUGUUUUCAUUAAUCAGUGAACGAAAGUUAGGGGAUCGAAGACGAUCAGAUACCGUCGUAGUCUUAACCAUAAACUAUGCCGACUAGGGAUCGGGCGAUGUUAUCUUUUUGACUCGCUCGGCACCUUACGAGAAAUCAAAGUCUUUGGGUUCUGGGGG